rnacentral:rRNA from 1 species
UACGUAGGGGGCAAGCGUUGUCCGGAUUUAUUGGGCGUAAAGAGCGUGUAGGCGGCUAGGUAGGUCCGUUGUGAAAACUCGAGGCUCAACCUCGAGACGUCGAUGGAAACCAUCUAGCUAGAGUCCGGAAGAGGAGAGUGGAAUUCCUGGUGUAGCGGUGAAAUGCGCAGAUAUCAGGAAGAACACCAGUGGCGAAGGCGGCUCACUGGCCCGAUACUGACGCUGAGGUGCGAAAGCGUGGGGAGCAAACAGG